UACGUAGGGUGCGAGCGUUACUCGGAAUUACUGGGCGUAAAGCGUGCGCAGGCGGUUUUGUAAGCCAGAUGUGAAAUCCCCGGGCUUAACCUGGGAAUGGCAUUUGGGACUGCAAGGCUCGAGUGCGGCAGAGGAGACUGGAAUUCCUGGUGUAGCAGUGAAAUGCGUAGAUAUCAGGAGGAACACCGAUGGCGAAGGCAGGUCUCUGGGCUGACACUGACGCUCAUGCACGAAAGCGUGGGGAGCAGACAGG
rnacentral:rRNA from 1 species